UACGUAGGGGGCGAGCGUUGUCCGGAUUUAUUGGGCGUAAAGAGCUCGUAGGCGGCUUGGCAAGUCGGGUGUGAAACCUCCAGGCUCAACCUGGAGACGCCACUCGAUACUGCUAUGGCUAGAGUCCGGUAGGGGACCACGGAAUUCCUGGUGUAGCGGUGAAAUGCGCAGAUAUCAGGAGGAACACCGGUGGCGAAGGCGGUGGUCUGGGCCGGCACUGACGCUGAGGAGCGAAAGCGUGGGUAGCAAACGGG
rnacentral:rRNA from 1 species